UCUUGUUGGAUUUCUUCAAUU
rnacentral:piRNA from 1 species